UACGGGAGGGGGCUAGCGUUGUUCGGAAUUACUGGGCGUAAAGCGCACGUAGGCGGCUUUGUAAGUUAGAGGUGAAAGUCCAGGGCUUAACCCUGGAAUUGCCUUUAAGACUGCAUCGCUAGAAUCGUGGAGAGGUGAGUGGAAUUCCGAGUGUAGAGGUGAAAUUCGUAGAUAUUCGGAAGAACACCAGUGGCGAAGGCGACUCACUGGACACGUAUUGACGCUGAGGUGCGAAAGCGUGGGAGCAAACAGG
rnacentral:rRNA from 1 species